rnacentral:lncRNA from 1 species
AUGGGCUUUACGUUUAAAACCUGGUCAUUAGCGGUCAUCAUUGCUCUUCUGUACUCAUCCCACACGCCUGUGGCCUCGGGUGUCACGACUCCAGAUGAUGCUUACAGCAGCCAGGAAGAUUACUAUGGUUACGAAGUGGAACGUGGGCAUAAUGAUGAUGGUACUGAUGAUGGAGAGCAAGGAGCUGAUGAUGAUGAUGGCAAUACUGAUGAUGAUAGUAACAAUGAAGGUGAUCAUUGUGAAGAUGAUGAUGCUGCAAAAAUGGAUAUAAAUCAGGAUGAUGACGACGACGAUGAGGAAGAGGGCGUUACUGACAAUGGGUUUCAUUAUGUAGAAGGAACUGAAAGUAUGGAUGAGGAGGCAGGGGAGGAUGCUUAUCGGAGAGAUGGCAAACGGUACAAGAGUACCGGUGACAGUGACAGAAGUGAGAAUGACGAUUAUCAUUAUGAUGAUGACGAUGGUGAUCAUGAUGAUUCUGAGCACAGCACAGAAGUCCAUAAUGAGAGCAACAAACCUGGACAGGAUGACUAUGAUAGUGACCUCAAUAAUGAUGAACUGCAUGACCAUAACUUGAAUAAACAUGAAAGCGAUAACAGUGUUGAUGAGUUCAGUGAUGGAGAAGAUGACGAUAUUCUCAACGGUGAUGAGUUGGAUGAUGACAUCGAGCAUAAUGAUGAUAGUGAAAGUGAUGACAGUGAUAAAACUGAUGACAGACAAGAUGACGAGGACAACGAUGCUCUUUUGAAUGACUCUACAGAAGAUGAUCAUUCUGAAAGCAGUAAUCGUGAUAAACAUGAUUUCAGAGUAAGGGAUGACACUCAUGAUGGUGGUGAUGAAGGCAUUAAAAAUGGUGACAGUGAUGAACUCAGUAGUGAAGAGGAUGGGGAUCACACUGAUGAUGAUGAUGAUGAUGAUGGCGAAAGUGAUGAUGAUGACUCAGAUGAGAGCACAGAGGAUGAUGGAGAUGAUGGAGAUAAUGAAAGCAAUGACACUGACAGCAAAGAGGAUGGUGAACCUGAAGACGAUGGGAACCAAAGUGAUGUCAAAGACAGCACUGAAGAGCAGCUCGGUAACUGA